CCUACGGGUGGCAGCAGUGAGGAAUAUUGGUCAAUGGGCGCGAGCCUGACCCAGCCAAGUAGCGUGAAGGAUGACUGCCCUCCGGGUUGUAAACUUCUUUUAUAAAGGAAUAAAGUCAGGCACGUGUGCCUUUUUGUAUUUACUUUAUGAAUAAGGAUCGGCUAACUCCGUGCCAGCAGCCGCGGUAAUACGGAGGAUCCGAGCGUUAUCCGGAUUUAUUGGGUUUAAAGGGAGCGUAGAUGGGUUGUUAAGUCAGUUGUGAAAGUUUGCGGCUCAACCGUAAAAUUGCAAUUGAUACUGGCAGUCUGGAGUAUAGUUGAGGUAGGCGGAAUUCGUGGUGUAGCGGUGAAAUGCGUAGAUAUCACGAAGAACUCCGAUUGCGAAGGCAGCUUACU
rnacentral:rRNA from 1 species